ACGAAGAGAAAACUUGAAAUCAUUCUUAGUGAGGACAGUCUUAAAUAAUACAGACACAGAUAAAAUGAAUCAUAUAAAAGUUGGUGCUGCUGUCUUUGUGACGCUCGUCUUGCUGAGUACAAUUACAGAAGCUACACUUCACUUCUCGGGUAAAGGGAGCCAGAUGUGGUCUGCAGGAAAGAGGGAUCGCCUGGAUGAUUAUGUAUCUAUAUCGGACUUAAUUGAAGUCGCAAACAAUUUGCGUGAAGACGUGGAAAAACUAAUGGACUUGUUGCAAGCCAAGGCCGAAGAAGAACUGAAAACGAGGCAGUAGCAACCAUGAAUCUAGUUUAAGACAAUCAUUAUUUCACAUGGAAAAGCUAUAUUUCUGUCUGUCAGUUAAUUAUUAAAGAUAUGUUCUGUGCAUUGAAGCACAUGGGACGCCCUAUAGAAACUCAAAUGAUAAACACCAUAUUUUGAUCACAGUGUGUUUGCACAUGCGUCGUCAACUAUUACAUCGCAAUUUCAAAUUGUGCACCUGCAACUUAUUUGCAUUUACAUUAUUUUCUUAGUUUAUUUUGCAUUCACAAAUAUUCUUUAUCCAUGUUUGGGUAACAUGUAUCUCUGGCAUUAUAGUUGUUGCGCCACAUACGGCGAACAAUGUAUAUCUAUAUGUAAAAUACAAAUAAAGGAAAUACCUAUUGUACACUA